GCGAUUGCCAGAUGUUCUGGCUCUUGGGGAGGUAAAGGGGUUCAUGUAGGUGCGCAAGGAGGUCCCACACUUCUGCACGCAUAACGUAGGACUAAAGAAACCUUUGAUUUUAGUCGAAAUCCCAUGAAAAGGGAGUAAAAUCAUGGGAGACUCCGACUUUAAAAUGCCAAGAGAUCAGCCCAGGCCUAGCGAUUGGCCACUAACCAUUAAAUAGGCGCUGACUUCUACACUCAUUUUGCAAGUCCAAAUAUCGGGU
rnacentral:lncRNA from 1 species